rnacentral:lncRNA from 1 species
UCCUGGCUGGGUUGCAACGAUCGGAGGCACGCACGGUUGGUUAGUUACAAUUUCAGGAACAUGAAGUGCAGUAUCCGGAGGUGAGAUUGAAUCAGCGUACGCGUUAACCAAAUAAUUGCUCCGGUAGGUCGGAUCGGACAGAGAAAUACAAGACACACCCAUAUGCUCUGCAGCUGCGAUUGCAUGGACGCAUGGUAUUUUCUCGUGGUCGAAAUGGCGGCAUGUGCAUCUUUUUGCAUCCAAAUUUGCAACAUGCAAAGAUGUUCCAUAUUGUACUUGUACACGUAAAGCAUCAAUC